AUGAAUUGGUGUAAGUUUAUUGCCGACUUCCUGCACGAUGCAUUCUCAAGCAAGAUGUACCAAAAGGAUUGUCGACUGCAUUUAAUGCUCAUGUACGUCGACUGUCUUGACCUGUCCACCGUGGACUUCACUGGGACAGGAGGCCCGCCGCCUGCGCACAAGUUUGCUGUUUCUGCGUGGACUAUCAACGCUGUCAAGGCUGUGCUUGCCACAGACAAGGCUACUGACACCACAUAUAGAAAACUGCAGCUGAUGGCCAAGCAUGCUAUAGACUACAGCGUGUUUGGGGGGCCUCAAAACUUUGGAAAGUGGAUGGACGUGUACUCAGCUCCGUCUUGCCCUGCCGAGGCGAGGGCACCUGUUGAGAAUAGGGCAGUUUGCAUCUGGAAUGACCGGCUUGCUCGGGAAGUUGGUUGA
rnacentral:rRNA from 1 species